rnacentral:rRNA from 1 species
GAUGAACGCUGGCGGUAUGCCUAACACAUGCAAGUCGAACGGUGUCUUCGGACAUAGUGGCGGCAGGGUGAGUAACGCGUGAGAAUCUAACGAUUGGUUAGGGACAACCUAAGGAAACGGUGGCUAAUGCCGGAUACUCUGAAACGUGAACUAUUAAUUUCUAACAGAUGAGCCCGCGUCUGAUAAGAUUGUAGGUGGGGUAAGAGCCUCCCAAGGCGUCGAUCAGUAGCUGGUCUCAGAGGACGGGCAGCCACUCCGAGACGGAGGCACAGCACAGACUCUUACGCGAAGCAGCAGUGGGGGAUAGUCCGCAACGGGCGAAAGGCUGACGGUGCAAUACCGCGAGAGCGAGGAAGUCUCUUGGGUUGUAAACCUCUAUUCUCUGGGCAGAUAAUGACGGUACCAAAGGAGUAAGCAUCGGCUAACUCCGUG